rnacentral:rRNA from 1 species
GGGAUUGCCCUAGUAACGGCGAGUGAAGCGGCAACAGCUCAAAUUUGAAAUCUGGCUUCGGCCCGAGUUGUAAUUUGCAGAGGAAGCUUUAGGCGCGGCACCUUCUGAGUCCCCUGGAACGGGGCGCCAUAGAGGGUGAGAGCCCCGUAUAGUUGGAUGCCUAGCCUGUGUAAAGCUCCUUCGACGAGUCGAGUAGUUUGGGAAUGCUGCUCAAAAUGGGAGGUAAAUUUCUUCUAAAGCUAAAUACCGGCCAGAGACCGAUAGCGCACAAGUAGAGUGAUCGAAAGAUGAAAAGCACUUUGAAAAGAGGGUUAAACAGCACGUGAAAUUGUUGAAAGGGAAGCGCUUGUGACCAGACUUGCGCCAGGCUGAUCAUCCGGUGUUCUCACCGGUGCACUCGGCCCGGCACAGGCCAGCAUCGGUUCUCGCGGGGGGAUAAAGGUCUCGGGAACGUAGCUCCUCCGGGAGUGUUAUAGCCCGGGGCGUAAUGCCCUCGCGGGGACCGAGGUUCGCGCAUCUGCAAGGAUGCUGGCGUAAUGGUCAUCAGCGACCCGUCUUGAAACACGGACCAAGGAGUCAAGGUUUUGCGCGAGUGUUUGGGUGUCAAACCCGCACGCGUAAUGAAAGUGAACGUAGGUGAGAGCUUCGGCGCAUCAUCGACCGAUCCUGAUGUUUUCGGAUGGAUUUGAGUAGGAGCGUUAAGCCUUGGACCCGAAAGAUGGUGAACUAUGCUUGGAUAGGGUGAAGCCAGAGGAAACUCUGGUGGAGGCUCGCAGCGGUUCUGACGUGCAAAUCGAUCGUCAAAUCUGAGCAUGGGGGCGAAAGACUAAUCGAACCAUCUAGUAGCUGGUUACCGCCGAAGU